rnacentral:lncRNA from 1 species
ACAGCUUUGGACAAAAGUCUAUAGCCAGUGCAUUCGUAACUCCCCAUGCACAAGAGCUGACUGUGGCUCUGGGAAGGCAUUUUACUCAUUUGCUUUCUUUUUUCUUGUAGUCGUCUUGUCCAGUUCUCAGGUGUUUACCAGCUAUUUGAAUUUCACCUGUGUGGGUACUUUCUUUGAGAGAGUCCCAGGACUUGACAGCCGUAUAGGCCUCAUAAAAGGCAGCUCU